rnacentral:rRNA from 1 species
UACGAGGGGGGCAAGCGUUGUUCGGAAUUAUUGGGCGUAAAGGGCGCGUAGGCGGCGCGACAAGUCACCUGUGAAAUCUCUGAGCUUAACUCGGAGCCUGCAGGCGAAACUGUCGUGCUGGAGUAUGAGAGAGGUGCGUGGAAUUCCCGGUGUAGCGGUGGAAUGCGUAGAUAUCGGGAGGAACACCUGUGGCGAAAGCGGCGCACUGGACCAUAACUGACGCUGAGGCGCGAAAGCUAGGGGAGCAAACAGG